GCGCCCUUGGUGUAGUGGUAAUACACAAUCUACUUCUUGAUGAUAAAUGAGGAAGUUUAGGAUUGGGUCCGGGGUUCGACUCCUCGAGGGCGCA